rnacentral:misc_RNA from 1 species
GAACGCACCUUGCGCCCUUUGGCUGUUCCGAAGGGCAUGCCUGUUUGAGUAUCAUGAACACCUCAACUCUCAUGGUUUUUCCAUGAUGGGCUUGGACUUUGGGGGUCUUGCUGGCCUGUGGUCAGCUCCUCUUAAAUGAAUCAGCUUGCCAGUGUUUGGUGGCAUCACAGGUGUGAUAACUAUCUACGCUUGUGGUUUUCCAUCAAGUAACCUUCAGUGAUGGAGGUUCGCUGGGGCUCAUAAAGGCCUCUCCUCGGUGAGGAUGGCUCCUUUGAACGUUUGAUCUCAAAUCAGGUAGGACUACCCGCUGAACUUAAG